rnacentral:tRNA from 1 species
GGUAUAGCCAAGCGGUAAGGCACGGGACUUUGACUCCCGCAUUCGCUGGUUCAAAUCCAGCUACC